UUACUGGGGUGGGGAGGCGGCGGGGCAACAACAAAAGAGGGAGGAAUGGUGGUGCUAUGGUGGGAGAAGGGUAAAUGGCGGAAGAAAGUUGGUGAAAAUUUUGAGUCCUUCAUGAUUUGAAGCUUCGCAUCUUUGAAAAUUUCACCGAAGGUUUUCAAACAACACCUAGACUCAAAGUUGGCUUUGUUUUCUUACAUAUCGUAAGUAAAUCUGCAACAAAAUUAAACCAAAACAAACCCGGAGUUUAAUUAGAUGCAAGUGGAACAAGGUUUGAGGGCAAAUAGCAUUAAAGAAAUAUCUAGCAAAGCCCAAAGAGAGAAUUGAAGAAAAUUGGUAUUUUUGGAGCAGAAAUUCAACUGUUUGUUAGCAAAUUACAAUGCACAUGUGAAGCAUGAUCAAGGAUUAAAAUGAAUCUCAGAAGCAGAUUGACUGCAGCAAAGACACGAGCUGCAACAAGGCAGCAUUGCAAAUUCAGAAUUAUCAGAACAGAUGCUGCAGAAACAGACAACAUUACAGGCAUCAGAAAACAGGAUGCUGUGAAGCUUGCGUUUCAGAGUUAUGCUUGGUGACAGAACUGAUAACCACCAGUUGCAAGAACUAGAGAUUUUUCAUGGUGCUUACAUUUUGCUUUGAUGUGAUAUCAUGUUUAUGCUACGUGUCUAAAUGCAAAUGAUGCAUCUGUUGUUUGGACUCCAAAGUCAUGCUCCGUGGCCUCAAGUGGUUGAUUACAAAGCUCUCUUUACUUUUGACAGCUUGGUGACUGAACUGAUAACCACCAGUUGCAAGAACUAGAUAAUUUUCAUGGUGCUUACAUUUUGCUUUAUGUGGUGCAGCAAUGGAGAACUUGUUGGCGUGAAUUGGUGGAAAACUACUAUGGUAUAAUAUCAAGCUACAAAUGCCAAUGUUUUAAUUUUCAAAACGAAACUCUAAAACUUCUUCCUUUACUAGCCAAAAUUAUCUAAUUUCUUAGAAAUCUGCGGUAUAAAUCUGUAGCAAGUUACUCUACUAUCCUGUGACGAGCUCACAUCAGUGGCAGAUCCACUAUGGGUUCAUUGAGUUUAGUUGAACCCAUAGUGGAUCUGCAAAAAAUCCUGUUUUCUGGAGUAUAAAAUCCAGUUAAAAGGUAUAUCCUACGGCAAUGUGAACAAUAACGUCUUCUGUCAGGUUGGUCCAUGUCAAUCAGAAGGUAAUAUGACAUCAUAUAGCGGGGUUCAAAUCCCGUGCCUGCUUUGAUGGCUCUUCGUUUUCGUUUUUCGCACUUUAUUCUUCUCCUUAAUUUGAUGCUUUGCUUUGUUGGCUUCAUAUAGAGUAAUUCUUUCCCUUUUUUUAUUUAAUAUAAUUUCCUUUUCUAACCCUCUUUUUUCUUGCUCAUGUCAAUACUAAUUCCAUAUUGCAGUUGUUAAUUGUGAUAUUUUCUUGUUUUUAAUAUAUAUGUUAUAUGUAUGCGACAAGCACUCAUCUUAUUCAUCUUAAGAAAAUUCUAAAAAAGGUUGGUUGUUUAUGUACUCCUAUUUUUUCUUUUGUAAAAUAAGUUAAAGACUUUUACAACUUUGAAUUUUCGAAUAUUCGUAAUAAAUUUGAACUAAUAUAUGAAUAUUAUUUUGUGUAUAAUUUAUGAGCGUGUUAUAUUCAAAGCAUUCGAACCCAUACGGUGAAAAUCCUGGAUACGCCACUAGCUCACAUAUACUGAACCUACCACUGAAAAAUCAAACACUAAGAAAUACUUCCUCCACUUUUUAUUACUUGCAACGUUUUGGAUGUUCCACUAUUCUUGCACUUACUUUGACCGGAAAUUUGUGUGUACUAUACAAUACAAAUUUUAGCAUUAGUCUUGUUGGAUUUAUCUCAAUAUACAUUAAUAAGAUUUCAAAUUUUUAUAAUUUUCAUAAAUAUAAUUAGAGAUUAAUGGUCAAAGUUGCAUAUCAACAAUCGUGGAAGUCAAAACGUUGCAAGUAAAAAGACGGAGGAAGUAUAACCCAAGUUCGGCCUCAAUGCAGUUUUAUCACUUUAUGCAAGCAAGUUAGUGGAGGGGUGGCAGUCGACUGGUGGUGCUAGGGAGACAAUGGAAUAAGCGUGAGGCGGUGGCAUUGGGGAGGGUUGGGUUGGUGGGAAGAGGAUAGUGCAUGGACUGAUGGCAGUAGUUAGUACUCAUUUGUUGUUGAUGGGUGUGGGAAAGAAGAGAAUAGAGAAGAAAAUAGUUAUUUGUUAAAACAAGUGAACUCAGAGUCUCAGACCAAUGUGGAAGAGAAUUUCAUGAACUUGCUAUUAAUCAUAAAAAUAUCUAACUUGGAUUUUGGGGAGAAACUUGAGGCUUAUGAUCUCCAAUUUUCAUCUAUAUAAUGGUUCAUAUGUUUGAGCAAAGUGGUAGCUCUCUCUUUAUGGUUCAUAGUCUAUUUCUGAUCCUUUCAUUUUAACCACACCUUAUUUGGUUUGAGUUUCUAGUUUUCGAUUUUGAGAUUUUAAACUAAUAUAUAGGUUGUGUAAUAUGAACUUAAGUUAGUCGUACUUUGUCAUAUUUAUUUUCGGAAAUUAACACCUAGAAAACUGAAAUACUUUCUAUAUUUUUGCUUUUGGGGGGGGGGAAAACAAAAAUUCAAAAUCAAAAUGAACCGACCUUAAGAUGUCGGAAAGUGAAAUUUUUGGAACUUGGUUUGCGCAUUUAUGUUUGGAAGCUUUAGUAUAACCCACUAGUGCUGUUUCGAAAUAUUUGGUAGGCUUGCUUCAACUCAACCAGUUUAUGUAUAAAACCUAGACAAUUCAGGUGUGAUGUGGGACCUUCCACUAACAUUCUCUUACAAACGGUUUCUUUCUUCUUACUUUUAUGUACUCUCUACAAUAAAGUCUAAGCCACCCCGCUAAAACUCUUAGUAUGUGUGUCCAAGCCGUAAAAGAUUUUUUCUUUUGAGCAUGCUAUAUAUUUUGUGAUGGUGGUGCUAUACUUUGGAGUUUGGAGAUGUAUCUGUCAUUCAUGCUCAUCCCCAAGAUUAGCCGCUGUAAUGCAAGUUCUGUGUAUCUUUCUUAAUCUGAUCUUAUCUGAAGUAAUGUGACUGUUGGCUGUUGCUUUUCAAUUUAUGCAUCUCUUGAGAUUGAGAAGUAAGGAUAAAGGCACCACACAAUUCAACAUGAGCAAAGUUUAUGGUUGCAUGAAAAAAUUCGGAAUUUUGUGAGAAGGUCAGAUGAUUCUUGCUUGUAUCUGAACUCCAACCUGUCUUAUUGGUGGAUCAUGAAAUUGGGCUUAUCAUUCGUGGCAUGGAUGUGGGAUCGGAUCCUCUCUCCCCUUGCCUUUUUCACAGAGGCAGAGGGUUUUAUUGCUGUUAUCCAGAAUCAUUUGACAGGAAUCUUUGGACAGUGUCCAGAUUCCAGGGUCCUCAUUUCUCAUAUAAAUACUAUGAUAAGCUUAUGCCUUACUCUUGCUACCAUUGAAGAGAGUCGGGUUAUUAUGACAGUUCUGUAAGCAUAUAAGUAAUGCCACUGGAAAAGUAUUAACGUCUGCCAAAGCUCUGACACUCUUAGUGCAACCUAUUACAAUGGAAAAACUUAUGGACUUCCCUUCAUAACUCCUUUUUGCUUAAGGGAGAAAGCUUGGAAGAUGCUGAGAAGGAGAAGUUACUUCUGGUUUCUGUUAGGGGAAGGAGGCAUGUGGCUCUUGGUUUGGCUUUUGCAAUGAACAAGUGAAAGCGAUAAAUAUUUUCUCUGAGUUAGGGUUUGGAUGUAGGUUGGUGUAAGAUCGGUAUGCAGUGUGCUGGUGCAGGAGUGUAAUAGAGUUUCAUUGGGGUCUCUAACUAGGCAGGGUUGUAGAUUCCUUGAAAAAUUUAUUUUAAAGGUGAGAUUUACUUUUGUUGAAAAAUCGGAAAUUGGAUCAAGUGCUAUCUUUAAUUGAAGGAGAUAUUAUGGUUCGUAUUCUGUCGCUGAGAGAGGUUCACAGUAUUGAGGAUAUUGAAUAGUCAUUAUGUUGCUCAAUAAGUAGGUUGUAGUUCUUUCACUUCAAAUUUUGUCUCUCCCAAGUUACUAAGAUGUUCACAUGCUGAGUUUGCCAUGUUUUUUUUGAGAUGUUAUGCCAGGUUGCUGUUUAUGGAUAAAAUAAUCUGAGGCUAUUUUGCUUUUGCCUCUUCCAGUUUCUUAUUGUAGUGGAUGAGAUUAUGAAGACGGGGGACAAUGUGAAUAUUCGCGACCAGCCGACCAGGGGUGGCACUCGAUGCUCUUAACCACCUUGGUACCUCAAUCAUGCAAGAAUAUCUUCCUGAGGAGUAUGUCAGCUCGACAUCAUCUCCAGUGCUCAUAUCUCCACUUGGAGACUUGGUAAAGAUUGUGUUAUUCAACAAAAUAUAUUGUGAAAGAGUUGGGAAAUACAACUUUUUUGUUGUUCUGAUAUCACAGGAAUGGCACCGUAUGGUACAGUUGAUGGCCAAAGUAAUGCUGGAGUAAUGUUUAGAGAAAGUGCUUGAAACAGACUAUUGAACGUAAAUGCCUCAGUGUACAUACACCUAAGUUUAUUUUUUGCUAAUAUAUAGAGAGCUUCAAAUGAGCAAAUAAAAUAAUGUUAACGGUCCGUUUGGUAGUCGUUAAUAAAUUGUGGUAAUGAGAAUGAAUUUCAAGUGUAAUUUUAUUAGGGAAGCAUCCUUAAAAUCUCUAUAAGGAGGUAUUUUUUCUCUA